GCUUCCAGGGACAAGCCAGCCCUGGGACCUCCAGUCAGGCCAUUGCCCAAGGCCUAGCAGCAAAUCGUGCUCCCACAAAGCAGUUCUAAUUCCUGCCCAUUGGACCCAGGCCACAGGCUGAGCCCAAAGGCAGUGUCAGGUUAAAUUUGGGUGACAACACUCUCAAGAAGCACUCGGAGCCUCUUCAAUUACACUGCUUAGACUCUACAUUAGGAACAAUACAAAACAAAAGACCUCACUGCUGCUGAAAUGCUGGGAGAGAGGUAGGAACACAAAGAAUGGAGAACUAUAAGAUAAAAGAUAUAGUAUUAUUCUACUACAAGUAGAUAGGGAUCAAAUGUAUUUUAUUAAUUUGAAGAGUGUGAUCUAUAUGUAGUCCACCAACACUUAAUCUCAGCCAUUCAUACCUUCAAUGAAAGAAUGAUCAGUGACUACUGAUAACUAGAAAGCUAUGAAAUUUCAUAACUAGAAAGUUAUGAAAUCAGUUAUAUUACUUAGACUGCUUUUUAUUGGGUAUUGGUUUCCCAAAGGUCCAGAGAGAAUGAUGUAAUGAAGCGUGAACUUUCGUCCUGUACUGCCAUGUCAGACCAAUAACAAUUUCUUCUUUCAAAAUCCUUUCUCUCUUUCAAAAAACUAUGUUUAUUCUAAGUAAAAUUGAAUUGCGAUUUUAACAUUGGCACAGUCCUCAAAACAGGAAAAUUACAAAUUACGUGCCUUGCAGAAUCCUUUUUUUUUUUUUUUUUAAAGCUAAUCACCAACCACAAUGUGAAUUCCUGCAAGAGUGGGGUGCCAUGUCACAAAAGAUCAGUCUGGCUUCACAGUCUGUUCUUUGCCUGUGUGGAAGACAGAUAUUUUUUGUUGAAUCAGGACCAUAAUUUGCAUCUGGAAGGACAAAGGGCCAUAUUCUCUUCUCCUGUCCACACACAGAGCUACACUGACAACAGCAAAAGCUGCUCAGAGAUAGAGGCAGAAUUUGGCUCAACCAGUGCAAAAUACAGCCCGAUUUUUAAAAGUAAAUUCUCCAGCUAACAUCUAGUGAAGAACAGACCAGCUAGUGGAUUUGGAAGUUUCCUUUAAAAUUUCUUGAAAUUUUCCUUUGAAAUUUCCAACGCAGUGUGUGAAGUAAUUCCAGACUCUAAUGAACUUCAGAGGCCUCUCUGGCUGUAAAUAAGAACAAAAAUGAUUGUCUAUAUUGGAUCCAGGACUUUCUUAGGCAGUAGAUAAUUUAUUGUUAUGCUCUAUGUCCUCAUUUUCCCUGAGUGAUUGAUGUAUUCUCUUCUGUUUUCAGAAGCCUUUUCUAAUAUUCACCUUUCUUCAAGAUGAUCCUGAAAGAUGAGUCAGAAGUUCCAUACCUGCUUUCCAUAUGGGGAAGCUGGGGCCCAGAAAGAAUGAAGGAAUCUAAGAGAUUUUUUAGUCAAAGUUCCCCAUCUUACACAUGAAGACAUUGAAUUCAAGUAAGUUUUUAUGUGUCUUAGAACUAUUUCCCUCUCAAUGUGUAUACAUUUACCUCAUUUUUUUUUUAAGUUGUGUAACAUCCUAUAAGGAGACAUCUUUAUUUAGCCACAUUUCUUUGAGGACUAUCUUGGUUAUUUCCAGUUUUUUUUUCACUAUUAUAAACAAUAUUGCAAAGAAUAACUUUGUAUAGGUAGCUUAGUAUUUACUUAGUAUUUUUCAGAAUAAAUAACCAGAAAUUAAGUAAAAAUUUUAGUAGAAAUAGUCCUCUUAGGAGAUGGUACCCAUGACAGCGCAUCCUUGCCAACACUGGAUAUUUUCAAACUUUUAAUUUAAGUUUUUUUUCUUAUUUUGGUCAUGCCACACGGCCU